AUACGGAGGAUGCGAGCGUUAUCCGGAUUUAUUGGGUUUAAAGGGUGCGUAGGCUGUGCGUUAAGUCAGGGGUGAAAUGCCGUUGCUCAACGACGGAGCUGCCCUUGAUACUGGCGUGCUGGAGUACGGAUGCCGUUGGAGGAAUGAGUGGUGUAGCGGUGAAAUGCUUAGAUAUCACUCAGAACACCGAUUGCGAAGGCAUCUGACGAAUCCGUCACUGACGCUGAGGCACGAAAGCGUGGGGAUAGAACAGGAUUAGAUACCCUGGUAUUCCACGCCGUAAACGAUGAUGACUAACCGUCGGCGAUAGACAGCCGGUGGCCAAGCGAAAGCGAUAAGUCAUCCACCUGGGGAGUACGUCGGCAACGAUGAAACUCAAAUGAAUUGGCGGGG
rnacentral:rRNA from 1 species